CGUGAAAUCGCUGGGUGUUUGUGCAAUGCUAAGUGCAGCAAAUAUGUUCUCAAAAACGAAAACUGCGUCGUUUGGUUUUAAAUUACUUUCAAACAGCCAUUGAAACUUAAUUAAUAACGAAUGGGGCUGAAACCAUCUUAGAAUAUGGCCUUGGGUACUAUGAAGAAAUUUUAAAAGGGAUUAUGUACAUGAAGAAAAACGUGUGCUAUGGAAAUAAUCUAGAUAGUAUGGUCAUGGAAUACUUCAUGUACCAAGAGCCCCAAAAACUCCAAUGAACAUUAUUACAAUGGAGACAAACACCUAAAGCGGAUGGUCGCACUAACCACACUACAUUGCAGUGUAACUCGUUAAUGGCCCAACCAACCCCAAUGAAGAUGAUUGACUACUGAAUAGCAAUGAAGACAAUCACUUAAAGCUCAUGGUUUCAUGAACAUCACGUUACAACACGAUUAUCCCAACCGUCUAACCACCCUCCCAAUCAAGAGCUGUGGAAACCGAUAUCGAACAAGACCCAAUGACUUACAAAGAUGGAAAAGUAAUCCAGCAAUUGGUUAAAAUCAUCAAUUAAAAAGAAAAGAAAGAUCAAUGGCAAACAAAUGAGCAUAAAUCAAAAGAUGAGUAUAGAAUAGUUGAACAACACAGGAAAACAGACGAUUGUGGUAUUAGUUUUCUUUCAAGACAGUAAGUUAACAUUGCUUUGUGUUGUUCACUAUGUAAUAAGAAAUGAUCAGUUAUAUUGGUUGUUCUGUAUUCGUUAGGUUUAUCAAUUUAUAUUGAAUCUCUUAAAUCUCUAGAAAAAUGCUGUUCAUUCGAAAAUAUAUAGUGUUAGUUAGAAGACCGUCUUUUUGUA